GAUGAACGCUAGCGGCAGGCUUAACACAUGCAAGUCGAGGGGCAUCGAGAGAGUAGCAAUACUUUUGUCGGCGACCGGCGGACGGGUGCGUAACGCGUAUGCAACCUACCUUAUACAGGGGGAGUAACCUUUCGAAAGGGAGACUAAUACCGCAUAACAUUACUUUGAGGCAUCUUGAGGUAAUUAAAUCUUCGGAGGUAUAAGAUGGGCAUGCGUAGCAUUAGCUAGAUGGUGCGGUAACGGCGUACCAUGGCGACGAUGCUUAGGGGUUCUGAGAGGAAGGUCCCCCACACUGGUACUGAGAUACGGACCAGACUCCUACGGGAGGCAGCAGUGAGGAAUAUUGGUCAAUGGGUCGGAAGACUGAACCAGCCAUGCCGCGUGCAGGAUGACGGCUCUACGAGUUGUAAACUGCCUUUGUACGAGGGUAAACCUAGNUACGCGUAUCUAGC
rnacentral:rRNA from 1 species